GUUCUUUUCCAGUUGUUAGAAUUUGUUCAGUGAAAGUUUAAGGUUUAAAAAAGAGAAUGUCACAGCACAGUGAAAAAGCUGCAAGUGGGAUAUGUUUAGAGGAAGACAGAGCAUCAGAGCUAAGAGAGUCAGUUACCACACAACCAGAAAACCCUCGCAGAAGUGAAAGAGUUCGCACAUUAACAGAAAAGGGAAGGGAAUUAAACAGAGAAAAGCUAAAUGAGCUUCUGUUACGCUUUGAAACAAUUUAUGUGCGCUGGAAAGCCUUAGCAAAGCUUGCUAAAAAAUCUGUAGCAAAGAAGGAUCUCAAUGUUAUUCUGCAAGAACACAUUAACUGUAUUCAGAAAGAAGAAUCUGAACUUAAUGGAGUUUAUGAAGAAUACAGGAAAAUUGACAGCCCUCCUCACAAUAUGCGGCGACAGCUGGACAGCUGCACGUCUGUAACCAGAGCUGUGAUUCAGAAUGUACAGUCUCAAAUGCAGGGAGCAAAUGAACAAUUACACUGGCCUGAUGCUAAUUCUGUAUUUGCAUCCUCAAGCUCCAGUGUUUCACUUUCAGCAUCUGGACAUUCUAAGGAAAGAUCUGUUCACUCCGUAGCUUCCUCCCUCAUCAGACAAGAAGCUGCAGCAGAAUAUGAAGCCACAAAAGCUGUAUUGCACAUUAUGGCUGAGCAAGAGUGUCAAAGAGAGAAGCUUCAAAAAUUACAAGCUGAGGAUCAGUUAAUAAAGGCAGAAGAAAAAGCGGCUGCAUUUUCUCGCAAACUACAAAGAGAGAAAGAGGAGACUGAACGCAGAAUAUCAGAGGAGAAAGAAGAAGUUGCUCUCUUAAAGGAACAGCAAGUGAAGAAUUUUGAAAGAAAACAAACGGUUGAGUCCUUGAAAAGAGAGGUCGAGCGGUUGGAAGAGCUUAAAAAAUUGCAUGCCGCUAAAGCAAAACUCCAAGUUUAUGAUGAAAACGACUCCUGUAAAAGUCAGGCACUUUCACUUUGCUCUGAGGCAUCUAAGAGGAAGCAGGUCAUGCAGCAAGAUGUUUCAUUAAGCAAUGCAGCUUCCAACGUAGAGAUCAAACCUCAACAUGAAACUGUCGAACUUGUGAGAGUCCUGGCUGAAGCUGUAUCUGCUAGUAGGUUACCCAUACCAGAGCCUACCACCUUUUAUGGGGACCCGCUCAAGUUUAAUCAUUGGAAAUCCUCUUUUCAGACAUUAAUUGAAAGGAAAAACAUCCCAGUCACUGAGAAAAUGUUCUUUCUGCAAAAGUAUGUAGGAGGGGCAGCUAAAGAAGCCAUCGAAGGUAAUUUCUUGACUGGAACAGAGGCAUCCUAUGAGGCAGCUUGGAACCUUCUCAAUGAAAGAUUUGGUGACUUUGUGGCCAAAGAAGAGGAAUAAAGUCAUCAGUGCAACAAACUGCGGUCCUUUCUUCACCGGAGAGAGCGAUAGAGUUGUUGGGGCUUUUCUUUUUGUUUUAGGGAUCCUCGCUUGGA
rnacentral:lncRNA from 1 species